UUACAAGCUGAGCCCUAUGGCAGCCGCCUGGGCCCCUGCAAGGAGGGCGCGUGUUGCUUUGGACGGGGCUCUGCCUUCUGCUCUUGCUCAUGGGCUAACCAGUUCCCAAGGACUUCAGGAAGAAAGGAGCGGAGGCGGAUCGGACGCUGCAAGAGCUGAACCGAAGCGAGGAAAUUAAAGAGAAGAAAAGAAACUACUUUAUUGUACCUCGGUGGAUCUUGAUGACAGCUUUGUCGGACGGACUUUUUUUCCCCACAAAGAUGCUUUGAUUUUUGGUCUUACUGGAUUCCAACGGAACUGUCUUGACGUGAAGAAAAAUAGAAACCCUUCUUCCCAAACAGCUUUAAGUGUUGCAAGAAUACAGCCCCCUUUCCAGAAAGCGCAGAGAUACUGGGAAACGGGGUGGGGGGAAAGAAUUCGUACUUGAUUUCCCCUUUGAAAAAAAAAUACACCCCCCACCCCGGUCCCAGAUCCCUGGUAUCUAUAUGGAAAGCUGUUUCUCUUUAUAAAGACUUAAAAUGUUGCAAGACGGGUCUAAUACUGAGUGACAAGCGGUGGUGGAGAGAGAGAGGAACCAAAUGGAUUCUGGUUUUUAAAGGCCACUAGGAACUGGCCAGUCUUCAAUGUCAGGAUUCAAAAUUGAUUCCAUAUGUCUCGUCCAAAAAAAAAUCAAAGUUAAGCAAAACCUAGAGGAUUCCUUUCUUUCUGCCUUUUUUUCUUUUCUUUUCUUUUUUUUUUUUCUUUUGGGUGCUUAGAUGUGAUCCUAUCAAAUAUAUGUAUAUUGCAAUUAACAUGGCUGACUUUUGUGUCUAAUCACAGAGGUAAGAGGUGGAAAAGUUGCAGCAGCCCCAGACACAAGGCUGCAUUUAGCAUGCAGUGAAUGGAGUUUCCCUGAAGUUGCAAACAGGGCUUAUGUAUGGUGAUGAGGAAAGGGGUGAAGUUUGCCAGAACGUGGGUCGGCAGAAAAAAUAGGGGAAACUAUCCUGAAUGCGGGGUGAAUGGGAGAAUUGUUUUGGGGGAGAUUGCCAUUGACUGCCAUAGGUGGUGCGGCUGCUGUUGGGUAGCACUGAAUGUGGACGUAUUGCGGGGAUGAAGGAGGGCAAAGGAGCCGGGUUGAUUUUCACCAGAGAACAGACCUCCGGCUAUUUCACCUUCCACCACCUCCCUCGGGGCUUAAAGGGGGACGCUGGACACCCCCAAAGAUGCCAUGGUGGAAAUGUGGAGAAACCUGCCCCUAAGCACUUAGUUCUCUCUGACCUCGCAGUGCCUUUGCUCAUAGCGCUCAGGCAGAUUUUUGUUUGAAUUUAACUUAAAAAAAGAAAGAUUAAAUAUUAUGGAGUGAGAAUCCUCCCCCCACCCCUUCCCCUUUACAGCUAUCUUGGGGGGUGGGAGAAGAACAACCCAACCUGAACAUCGCUUCUGAUUUAUGGCUUUGCUUUUCUGAAAUAGCUUCUGAUUUGGUCAGUGGCAAUCGAGUGUUGAAAUGUGGUUUUACACCCGUCUCCCCUCCCCCCAGCAAAUAAACUUCAAAGGAGACGUCA